UACGAAGGGGCUAGCGUUGUUCGGAAUUACUGGGCGUAAAGCGCACGUAGGCGGACAUUUAAGUCAGGGGUGAAAUCCCGGAGCUCAACUCCGGAACUGCCUUUGAUACUGGGUGUCUUGAGUGUGGAAGAGGUGAGUGGAAUUCCGAGUGUAGAGGUGAAAUUCGUAGAUAUUCGGAAGGAACACCAGUGGCGAAGGCGGCUCACUGGUCCAUUACUGACGCUGAGGUGCGAAAGCGUGGGA
rnacentral:rRNA from 1 species